rnacentral:rRNA from 1 species
ACGGGGCGCAGCAGGCGCGAAACCUUUACACUGCACGACAGUGCGAUAAGGGGACUCCAAGUGCGAGGGCAUAUAGUCCUCGCUUUUCUCCACCGUAAGGUGGUGCAAGAAUAAGUGCUGGGCAAGACCGGUGCCAGCCGCCGCGGUAAUACCGGCAGCACGAGUGAUGACCGCUAUUAUUGGGCCUAAAGCGUCCGUAGCUGGCCACGCAAGUCCAUCGGGAAAUCCGCUCGCUCAACGCGCGGGCGUCCGGUGGAAACCGCGUGGCUUGGGACCGGAAGAUCCAGAGGGUACGUCCGGGGUAGGAGUGAAAUCCCGUAAUCCUGGACGGACCACCGGUGGCGAAAGCGCUUCGGAAAGACGGAUCCGACGGUGAGGGACGAAAGCUAGGGUCACGAACCGGAUUAGAUACCCGGGUAGUCCGAGCUGUAAACGAUGUUUGCUAGGUGUGGCACAGGCUACGAGCCUGUGCUGUGCCGUAGGGAAGCCGUGAAGCAGACCGCCUGGGAAGU